UAGCUCUUCCAGCGAAACAACUCCCAGCCUCUACGUGGUUGGCAAUGGAUGGUGAAGCAGAAAUAGUGAGUGGAUGCACCCAUAGAGAAAACAAAAGGUCACACAAAGACUUUUUGAUGGAUGUUGAGGACCUGGAGGAAGCAGGAUCAGAUGCAGAGGAGCAUAGCACCAAGAUGCUUCCCCAGGAACAAAGUGGCUCCCUGAACAAGAACAUACCACCUAUUGGUAAUAGUGGUAUAGACCACGAACCUCAUGGAGCAGACGUCUCAGGUUUCCUCCAUGAAUAUCCAGUCUGUGUGUCACAGGACAGAUGGACAGUGAGAGGAGAAGAGCAUAUCCAAGAAAACUCGUUGCAUCCAUGUUUUAAUGCAGAGGGAAACAUUAGCCUGAGGAGUCCAGGUCCCAUGUUGGAGUACUUGGUGUAUCUUAAUAGCCAGCAUUAUGGGCCAGAUUGUCCCAGUAACGGACCUACCACCCCCUCUAUCUCUCCAGUAGCCAACUGGCCUCGUCACUCUACACCCAUUCCUAGUUCACUGACAGCCAUUUCUACUACUGUCAGCUCCACAGUUAGCUCUGCUAUGACUAGCUUCAUGACUGACGCAUGUAGUCCCAUUGGUUUUAUAUGUGGUGUCACCAGUUCAGCCACAGACCCUCUAAUGUCCACCCCCAGGAGUCUCUGCUGCUCUGACCAGGAUCCUGCCAGUGCUGCAGCUUACCUUCACCUCCUGGGAGAAUCGUUAUCCCUGAUUGGACACCAUCUCCAGGAAACAGAUCUGCAGCCUUCUUGGUGCCUAGUAACUCAAGUAGCUUGCUGUACUAAAAUGGUGUGUAUGUCGAGUAGUUUCUCUCUACUCUUGGACUCUCUAUUGUGUGCUAUGGCUCCACUUACCGGCCUCACUAUGCACAUACCAGAGCUGAGGAGCUGCACACAACACACACUGGCCUCCACCUUGGAUAACAUUGCAUAUGUGAUGCCUGGCCUGUGAGUAAAAGGAGACCCCUACUGGCUCUACACAGCAAUGAUAACAUGAAAAACAUUUUUCUGUUAGUUGAUACUUGAAAAGUAAGAGUUUUUGUGUUAUGAGAAUUUGCCUGCACUUUGAACUUUGAAGUGAACUUUUUUCAGAAGGACAAUUUUUUUGUUAAUUACAUAUGUUAAUUAAGUAUGUUUAAAAUGCAAUUUAAAUGCCUUGGAUUAACUAUUUGAUUAGAUAGGAUUUUUGAACACUCUGCUUUUUAAAUUAUUUGAAUAGUUAUAGAGAUGGAAAACAUUAGAAGUAGUGGGUAAUUCAAAGUAGAGAUCAGGCAUCACAUAUUUACAUGCCUGGUAACUCAAUAAUAAAUCACAUGUACAUGAAUAGCAUCUUAUGUUUUGUUUAUACAGUAUGGGUAUGUUUAGUCAACUUAAAUAUUCUUACAAAAUGCA